CCAGUCCGCAGACACCGCGGGAGACGAAUCCCACCCGGGCUCGUCUGGACCAGCUUGGGACACACAGGAGGACAGAGACAGCGUUGCUUUGCAAAGUCACCAGUUCAAAGAAGUUCCUUCCCGUGUGUCGGGAGUGAGAGCAGCUGAGUCCUAAGAGCACAGGGUCGGGAACCAGGUGUCCAGGGGACAACUCCUGAGCCUCUUGGGAGAGAUGAGCCCAGAGAAUGGUUCUAGAUUUCUUCUGGGCUUUGCACAGAGGGUGGAGGGGAAAGGGCCGGUCCUGACCUGCAA